AUUUGAUAAAGGCAAACCUACUGAAAAGUUGGGGCGCAAAACUAUAAGGGGCUAAGGACAUCACAAUGUCUAUGCUAGCCAGUUGCCGUA
rnacentral:ncRNA from 2 species